CCUGGGGAUCAUGAAGGUUCCCCUGUUGGGAAAAUUGAGAGGAGAUAAGAACAUGUAAGUGAAAAACAGAAUAAAUGCAAACAUGGAGAUGAAUUAAGCAGAGGGAAUAAUAACAUAAAGGAGACUAGAGACGGAUUUGUGACAGAGACGAGCUCCCACACAACACUGAGAGAGAAAGAUAAACGACUGUGAUGGAGGUGGAUGUACUGUCACGGCAGGCAGAGGAGGAGAUAAAAACUACAGGGGAAAAAAAAAAAAAAAAAAAA